rnacentral:misc_RNA from 1 species
GAUGAAGAAGGCAGCAAAAUGCGAUAAGUAAUGUGAAUUGCAGAAUUCAGUGAAUCAUCGAAUCUUUGAACGCACAUUGCGCCCGCCAGUAUUCUGGCGGGCAUGCCUGUUCGAGCGUCAUUUCAACCCUCAAGCACAGCUUGGUGUUGGGACUCGCGUUAAUUCGCGUUCCCCAAAUUGAUUGGCGGUCACGUCGAGCUUCCAUAGCGUAGUAGUAAAACCCUCGUUACUGGUAAUCGUCGCGGCCACGCCGUUAAACCCCAACUUCUGAAUGUUGACCUCGGAUCAGGUAGGAAUACCCGCUGAACUUAAGCAUAUCAAUAAGCGGAGGA